rnacentral:lncRNA from 1 species
CGGCGCGCCGAGAAGGACCGGGACAGAAGUUUCCAAAGAGGACCCUUUGUCCCCCCACCCUCUCCGCGGUGGAGGCCGACGCCGCGCCGCGCCCGCCAGGGCACGCAAUGGGCCAGCGCCGCUGCGCACCUUUCUGCGGUCCUCCGGGCGCGGCGACCUGGAGAAAGAUCUAGCAAAAUGAGGAUUCCGGGCGCCGCCCCCCUUCCCUUCUCCGCUCCAUCUCUGAAUGACGGGGCUUCCUGGUGGAAAUGAUGGAAAGAAAAAAGAAAACAGCUGUGACUAGCGGCGACGGGAGGGUGGGUGGCGCCGAG